GUUAGGUAAGGCUGAUCCUGGUACCAAGUCGAUCUGAUGAUCUAUUCCGCGAAUUGGAGGUAGCCCUGGUGGAAUUUCGACUGGAAAAACGUCCUUGUAUUCCUGCAAAAUCUAUAACAUAGCACUAGGAAGCUCCUGUGAACAGUUAGUACUAACAAGGGAUUCCUUGUAUACAAACAUAAAAGUAGUCAUUUCAGGAUCAAAGAGUUUAGAAAAUUCACUAUGGUUUAUGUAGAGGCUGUUGGCGACUUUCUCCUUCUCCUUGAGCUUCAUCUGAAUCUGAUCUUGGUAAAUCUCGGUAGGCGUGAGAGGUAGGAGGGUAAUUUUGCGACCUUUGAACUCGAAUGAGUGCUUGUUGGUAUAACCGUCGUGUAUCACCCUACGAUCAGAUUGCCACGGUCUGCCUAGCAACACAUGACUCGAACCCAUGGGAAUGACGUCACAUAGAAUUUCAUCUUCAUACUUCCCAAUA
rnacentral:lncRNA from 1 species